rnacentral:rRNA from 1 species
CCUACGGGUGGCAGCAGUGGGGGAUAUUGCACAAUGGGGGGAACCCUGAUGCAGCGACGCCGCGUGGGUGAAGGAGUGCUUCUGCAUGUAAAGCUCUAUCUGUACGGAAGAAGCAAGACGGUACCUGAUUUAGAAGCCCCGGCUAACUACGUGCCAGCAGCCGCGGUAAUACGCAGGGGGCGAGCGUUAUCCGGAUUCACUGGGUGUAAAGGGAGCGUAGACGGCCAUGCAAGCCAGAGGUGAAAGCCCGGGGCUCAAGCCCGGGACUGCCCUUGGGACUGCAUGGCUAGAGUGCAGGAGGGGCAGGCGGAAUGCAUGGUGUAGCGGUGAAAUGCGUAGAGAUCAGGAAGAACACCGGCGGCGAAGGCGGCCUGCUGGACCGCUACUGACGUUGAGGCUCGAAAGCGUGGGGAGCGAACAGGAUUAGAUACCCGUGUAGUC